rnacentral:rRNA from 1 species
GGCGAACGGGUGAGUAAUGUAUCGGAACGUACCUUUCAGUGGGGGAUAACGUAGCGAAAGUUACGCUAAUACCGCAUAUUCUGUGAGCAGGAAAGCAGGGGAUCGCAAGACCUUGCGCUGAUUGAGCGGCCGAUAUCAGAUUAGCUAGUUGGUGAGGUAAAGGCUCACCAAGGCGACGAUCUGUAGCGGGUCUGAGAGGAUGAUCCGCCACACUGGAACUGAGACACGGUCCAGACUCCUACGGGAGGCAGCAGUGGGGAAUUUUGGACAAUGGGGGCAACCCUGAUCCAGCCAUGCCGCGUGAGUGAAGAAGGCCUUCGGGUUGUAAAGCUCUUUCAGCCGGGAAGAAAUCACAUGGGUUAAUACCCUGUGUGGAUGACGGUACCGGAAUAAGAAGCACCGGCUAACUACGUGCCAGCAGCCGCGGUAAUACGUAGGGUGCGAGCGUUAAUCGGAAUUACUGGGCGUAAAGCGUGCGCAGGCGGUUUGUUAAGAUAGGCGUGAAAUCCCCGGGCUCAACCUGGGAACUGCGUUUAUGACUGGCAGGCUAGAGUAUGGCAGAGGGGGGUGGAAUUCCACGUGUAGCAGUGAAAUGCGUAGAGAUGUGGAGGAACACCGAUGGCGAAGGCAGCCCCCUGGGCCAAUACUGACGCUCAUGCACGAAAGCGUGGGUAGCAAACAGGAUUAGAUACCCUGGUAGUCCACGCCCUAAACGAUGUCAACUAGGUGUUGGGUGGGUAAAACCAUUUAGUACCGGAGCUAACGCGUGAAGUUGACCGCCUGGGGAGUACGGCCGCAAGGUUAAAACUCAAAGGAAUUGACGGGGACCCGCACAAGCGGUGGAUGAUGGUGGAUUAAUUCGAUGCAACGCGAAAACCUUACCUACCCUUGACAUUGUCCAGAAGCUCUUAGAGAUUUGAGUGUGCCCGAAAGGGAGACUUGGAACACAGUGCUGCAUGCCGUCGUCAGCUCGUGUCGUGGAGGAUGUUUGGGUUAAGUCCCGCAACGAGCGCACCUUGUUCAUUAGUUGCUACGAAAGGCACUCUAUGAA